rnacentral:rRNA from 1 species
AUUGAACGCUGGCGGCAGGCCUAACACAUGCAAGUCGAGCGGAUGAGAGGAGCUUGCUCUUCGAUUCAGCGGCGGACGGGUGAGUAAUGCCUAGGAAUCUGCCUAGUAGUGGGGGACAACGUUUCGAAAGGAACGCUAAUACCGCAUACGUCCUACGGGAGAAAGUGGGGGAUCUUCGGACCUCACGCUAUUAGAUGAGCCUAGGUCGGAUUAGCUAGGUGGUAGGAUAACGGCCUACCAAGGCGACGAUCCGUAACUGGUCUGAGAGGAUGAUCAGUCACACUGGAACUGAGACACGGUCCAGACUCCUACGGGAGGCAGCAGUGGGGAAUAUUGGACAAUGGGCGAAAGCCUGAUCCAGCCAUGCCGCGUGUGUGAAGAAGGCCCUCGGGUCGUAAAGCACUUUAAGUUGGGAGGAAGGGCUUACAGCGAAUACCUGUGAGUUUUGACGUUACCGACAGAAUAAGCACCGGCUAACUUCGUGCCAGCAGCCGCUGUAA